UUCAACCAUGAAGAAGAAAACUUAGUUCCUGUCUUCAGGAGCUCUCAAUCUAGCAAUGAAGACAAACACAGAUUCCUAAUUUGGUGCUUUUUUCACUAUACCAUACCACCUCUCUUGGACCAUUUAAGAAAGAGAGGAAGGAAGAAAGUGAAACAUUAAUGUGAGAGAGAAACAUCGGUUGCCUCCUGUACUUGCCCUGACUGAGGAUUGAACCCACAACCUAGGAGGAUGUCUGAAAGGUACUACACCCAGCCUUCAAAAAGAUGAUACUACAGAAAAUUUUUCUGGAAGUGAUAAUACCUG